rnacentral:rRNA from 1 species
GUGCCAGCCGCCGCGGUAAUACCGGCAGCCCGAGUGAUGGCCGAUAUUAUUGGGCCUAAAGCGUCCGUAGCUGGCCAGACAAGUCUGUUGGGAAAUCCACGUGCUCAACGCGUGGGCGUCCAGCGGAAACUGUCUGGCUUGGGGCCGGAGGACUCGAGGGGUACGUCCGGGGUAGGAGUGAAAUCCUGUAAUCCUGGACGGACCGCCGGUGGCGAAAGCACCUUGGAAGGACGGAUCCGACAGUGAGGGACGAAAGCUAGGGUCUCAAACCGGAUUAGAAACCCGAGUAGUC